ACUGUGGGCUGGAUAAGUGGCACGAUGUGGAUGUACUGAUAUUUUACGUACUUCCACAAGUAUACCAACAGGCAAAUUAUAUGUAAAUAAUUCGUUUGUAUAAGCCACCGAGUUACUGUAAUUGCCAUCAGUGACUUUUUCUCCUUCUCCUGUCCUACAGGAUAUCCCUUCGUAAAUCAGCCGGUGGGACCCAUGAUGGAAGGCCAGAAAACAGAUGAGAAGGGACCAGAGAGGAGGACAAUCGCCCUCACUUUCCUUUUCCUACUCAUCUUUAAGGACGAUGCCAAAAGUAUGCCCCUGUAGCUUCAGGAAUGGCGCAGUCCAACCGCCUCAAUCUUUCACCGUUAGCAGCAACACUCUGGGCCAAGGUUCUGCUUCCGAGGUCACCCCGGCUUGGGCAGCCUUUGGCCUCCAGCGUCCAGUCGCCUAGACCUGAGAGGCUGGACAAGCCAGGUUAGGAGAGGUCACAGAAGGAUGAAGCCUCUCCCACAUAACCCUUUAUUAUUUUCUCACGCCGCCACCACCAUCCCCACCCCUCAGCAAUGCCACCUCUGUUGCCCUUUCCCAACAUGCUUACCAGAAUUCCCUCUACUUUGUUCUGCACGGCCUUGCUGUGGAGAGGAAGAAAAGCCGGAGGUCACAAGGUUUUCCCAUCCCUCUGUCUGACUGCUAGAGACAGAAAAAGACCACAGACCUCGGCCUGCUCUUCAACACUUGCCUGAGGGGAGUGAAGGGCAACAAGGACCUACAGCCGGUUUAGAGGCACAGCGAUUGAUUACUUACGAAAUGGUACCUCGGAGCCUUUGAAGAAGGGUGGUGGGUUCCCCAGCUUCAGCACCACCUUGGGGCCUUGCCCCAGUCUUGGGGCUCUUAGCAUCAGGUUUAUCUUCUGCCAUCCCAGCAUGAGGACUAAAGCUGAGAGAAGACAGGACACAAGGAUUUAACUCCCAGCAAGCCUCCUUUUCCCGGGAGACCCCAGGGCAGUCCUGUUUCUAUCCAGAAAUACAAACAGAAGCAAAGCUUCCCCCGGUGGUUUUCCUCACCACUUGCCUUCUCUAAAAUUAGAAUUAUUCCGUUACUUUGUCAGGCCCUUCUAGACCCAAAGAGAUCUCUGACAUCUCCAUUUUAGAUGUCCCACCUUCUGAAGUCUCUCAAAUCUGGAAAACUGUUACGGGGUAGGAAAAUUCACGUUAGAAAGAAAUAUUAUUCUCCCAGUGCUGCAACCUCCCCUCCCCCCGAAAAAAAAUAAACCGAUAACGACAAACCAAA